rnacentral:rRNA from 1 species
GAUCUCGGAAACGAUUUAUCUGAACCUUCGGGGAACGAUAACGGCGUUCAGCGACGUACGGGUGAGUAAUGCCUAGGAAAUUGCCCUGAUGUGGGGGAUAACCAUUGGAAACGAUGGCUAAUACCGCAUAAUACCUACGGGUCAAAGAGGGGGACCUUCGGGCCUCUCGCGUCAGGAUAUGCCUAGGUGGGAUUAGCUAGUUGGUGAGGUAAUGGCUCACCAAGGCGACGAUCCCUAUCUGGUCUGAGAGGAUGAUCAGUUACACUGGAACUGAGACACGGUCCAGACUCAUACGGGAGGCAGCAGUGGGGAAUAUUGCACAAUGGGCGCAAGCCUGAUGCAGCCAUGCCGCGUGUGUGAAGAAGGCCUUCGGGUUGUAAAGCACUUUCAGUCGUGAGGAAGGUAGUGUAGUUAAUAGCUGCAUUAUUUGACGUUAGCGACAGAAGAAGCACCGGCUAACUCCGUGCCAGCAGCCGCGGUAAUACGGAGGGUGCGAGCGUUAAUCGGAAUUACUGGGCGUAAAGCGCAUGCAGGUGGUUUGUUAAGUCAGAUGUGAAAGCCCGGGGCUCAACCUCGGAAUAGCAUUUGAAACUGGCAGACUAAAGUACUGUAGAGGGGGG